UACGGGGGGGGCAAGCGUUGUUCGGAAUUACUGGGCGUAAAGGGCUCGUAGGCGGCCAACUAAGUCAUACGUGAAAUCCCUCGGCUUAACCGGGGAACUGCGUCUGAUACUGGAUGGCUUGAGAUUGGGAGAGGGAUGCGGAAUUCCAGGUGUAGCGGUGAAAUGCGUAGAUAUUGGGAGGAACACCAGUGGCGAAGGCGGCUACCUGGACCGGUUCUGACGCUGAGGCGCGAAAGCGUGGGUAGCAAACAGG
rnacentral:rRNA from 1 species